UACGUAGGGUGCGAGCGUUGUCCGGAAUUAUUGGGCGUAAAGAGCUCGUAGGCGGUGUGUCGCGUCGGCCGUGAAAACCUGGGGCUCAACUCCGGGCGUGCGGCCGAUACGGGCAUCACUAGAGUUCGGCAGGGGAGACUGGAAUUCCUGGUGUAGCGGUGAAAUGCGCAGAUAUCAGGAGGAACACCGGUGGCGAAGGCGGGUCUCUGGGCCGAUGACUGACGCUGAGGAGCGAAAGCAUGGGUAGCGAACAGG
rnacentral:rRNA from 1 species